rfam:Triticum aestivum genome assembly, contig: Triticum_aestivum_CS42_TGACv1_scaffold_320251_4BL
AAAGUACUCCCUCCGUUCGAAAAUACUUUUCAGCGAAAUGGAUGUAUCUAGACGUAUUAUAGUUCUAGAUAUAUCUAAUUUUAUCCAUUUAUGCGACUAGUAUUUUCGGACUGAGGGGGUAGUAA